UACAGAGGGUGCAAGCGUUGUUCGGAAUUAUUGGGCGUAAAGCGCGUGUAGGCGGCUUUGCAAGUCGGGUGUGAGAGCCCUCGGCUCAACCGAGGAAGUGCGCCCGAAACUGCAGAGCUUGAGUACCGGAGAGGGUGGCGGAAUUCCCCAAGUAGAGGUGAAAUUCGUAGAUAUGGGGAGGAACACCGGUGGCGAAGGCGGCCACCUGGACGGAUACGUGACGCUGAGACGCGAAAGCGUGGGGAGCAAACAGG
rnacentral:rRNA from 1 species